rnacentral:rRNA from 1 species
UUAAAUUGAAGAGUUUGAUCAUGGCUCAGAUUGAACGCUGGCGGCAGGCCUAACACAUGCAAGUCGAACGGUAACAGGAAGCAGCUUGCUGCUUUGCUGACGAGUGGCGGACGGGUGAGUAAUGUCUGGGAAACUGCCUGAUGGAGGGGGAUAACUACUGGAAACGGUAGCUAAUACCGCAUAACGUCGCAAGACCAAAGAGGGGGACCUUAGGGCCUCUUGCCAUCGGAUGUGCCCAGAUGGGAUUAGCUAGUAGGUGGGGUAACGGCUCACCUAGGCGACGAUCCCUAGCUGGUCUGAGAGGAUGACCAGCCACACUGGAACUGAGACACGGUCCAGACUCCUACGGGAGGCAGCAGUGGGGAAUAUUGCACAAUGGGCGCAAGCCUGAUGCAGCCAUGCCGCGUGUAUGAAGAAGGCCUUCGGGUUGUAAAGUACUUUCAGCGGGGAGGAAGGGAGUAAAGUUAAUACCUUUGCUCAUUGACGUUACCCGCAGAAGAAGCACCGGCUAACUCCGUGCCAGCAGCCGCGGUAAUACGGAGGGUGCAAGCGUUAAUCGGAAUUACUGGGCGUAAAGCGCACGCAGGCGGUUUGUUAAGUCAGAUGUGAAAUCCCCGGGCUCAACCUGGGAACUGCAUCUGAUACUGGCAAGCUUGAGUCUCGUAGAGGGGGGUAGAAUUCCAGGUGUAGCGGUGAAAUGCGUAGAGAUCUGGAGGAAUACCGGUGGCGAAGGCGGCCCCCUGGACGAAGACUGACGCUCAGGUGCGAAAGCGUGGGGAGCAAACAGGAUUAGAUACCCUGGUAGUCCACGCCGUAAACGAUGUCGACUUGGAGGUUGUGGCCUUGAGGCGUGGCUUCCGGAGCUAACGCGUUAAGUCGACCGCCUGGGGAGUACGGCCGCAAGGUUAAAACUCAAAUGAAUUGACGGGGGCCCGCACAAGCGGUGGAGCAUGUGGUUUAAUUCGAUGCAACGCGAAGAACCUUACCUGGUCUUGACAUCCACGGAAGUUUUCAGAGAUGAGAAUGUGCCUUCGGGAACCGUGAGACAGGUGCUGCAUGGCUGUCGUCAGCUCGUGUUGUGAAAUGUUGGGUUAAGUCCCGCAACGAGCGCAACCCUUAUCCUUUGUUGCCAGCGGUCCGGCCGGGAACUCAAAGGAGACUGCCAGUGAUAAACUGGAGGAAGGUGGGGAUGACGUCAAGUCAUCAUGGCCCUUACGACCAGGGCUACACACGUGCUACAAUGGCGCAUACAAAGAGAAGCGACCUCGCGAGAGCAAGCGGACCUCAUAAAGUGCGUCGUAGUCCGGAUUGGAGUCUGCAACUCGACUCCAUGAAGUCGGAAUCGCUAGUAAUCGUGGAUCAGAAUGCCACGGUGAAUACGUUCCCGGGCCUUGUACACACCGCCCGUCACACCAUGGGAGUGGGUUGCAAAAGAAGUAGGUAGCUUAACCUUCGGGAGGGCGCUUACCACUUUGUGAUUCAUGACUGGGGUGAAGUCGUAACAAGGUAACCGUAGGGGAACCUGCGGUUGGAUCACCUCCUUACCUUAAAGAAGC